rnacentral:lncRNA from 1 species
ACAUACGAAAGGAGAGCAGUCCAAGGCUUGCUACAGAUGCCACUAUGGGUCGACAGAAACCGUCGACACCCAGAAACAGAGAGAGCAGAGGAGAGAGUGACCUUACAUUGAAGAGGAAAUAGCAGGGCUUCAAUGCGCAAGAAGGUAGGUAUAAACCGGAGGAGAAGACUCACCACCGCUAGACACAACCUGUACCACUGCCUGAAGAACAGAAAGCGGACCUGUCGACAAGAGCACAACCGGAACAGAAAACUGAGGGGGUGUGGAACCCGAACACCGGAAGAAACCCAGAGCUUCCACCGGAGCUGGGAAGAAGGAUCCCACCGUGCGCAGACUGCAAAGCUUUGACCAUCAGGAGACAACGCCGAUGGGAAAACCUUACGGACACGUCGCCUCUGAGAACCAGAGAGACAACCAAACCACCGCAAAUCAACCACUCCUCCGUUCGCUACCCCGCUUCGCAGAGAUGUAGAUCGAAGUUGGAGAAGGACCCCCACUGAGCCAUGCGCCCGCCGACAACAAGGACAUAGAUCUAGGAAAACAAAAAACUAGAUCCGACAGAACCUUUGAUCCAAAAAGCCACUUCUCAGCCUCGCCGCUUUUCCAGACCACCGAACCGCCCCUUUGAACUGCGAAGAUCUCUGGUGAAGCUCAGCCAAUCCAGAAGCACAAGCAUAUUGACAGGAAAGAGCAGAAGUGAGGAGAGGUAAAAGGAAUAAAAAGGAGGGAGGAGAAGGAGAUCUCCGGAACCGGCAGGCGCCGGACCGGAGAAAGCUAGGUCAUCGGUGGAAAACGAGAGGAUUUAGAGAGAAGGUUAUAUCAUGUAAGAUAAUUGUGAUAAAGAUUAAAAUUUAUGUAUAUUUAAAUAUUUAAAAUAUAGUUAGAUUAGAAAGAAACAAACCUUGCAUGACUUGAACUAGAAGGACUGAGAAUGGCGGUGUUGAUUCGUGAGAACGGCGGGGUUACGGAGGCGACAAUGGAAGACUGAGAAGACUGACAGAGAUGGAUUGAUUCGGAAGCAAGAGCUUGGCGGUAUUAUGGAGACGAUAAUGGAAGGAUAGUGUGUGAAGAAUCAAACCUAGGAUUCUAAAAAAUUCGCCGCAAAAGGGGUGUCUUGAGAGAGUUCGUGAUUUUAGAAUAAGGAAAUAGGGUUGUGAGUUAUUAGAGAGGGGUUGGUACAAUAAGUAAACCGAUAGGCUCUGGCUGGUUAAAUUUUUCUUUUUACUUUCCAAAGACAUAAGGGCAUAAAAGACAUUAACUAGAAAAAAAGGUUGUCACAUGUAGAAAGUGUCUUGGGCUGUAAAUCCAAAGACAUAAAGUGUCUUGGAGAGUAAAAAAUUCCUAUUAUUACGUACUCCACCAUACAUAAAAUAAUCGCGGAAAACUUGUGUAUUUUGUGAACGGGAAUGAUCAACACUCUGCUUCAUCUUUGGCGACAGAACUUGAUUUGGUCCAAGGGUCUCUUCCUGUGAAGUAUCUCGGAGUUCCUCUGAUGCCUCAUAACCUGUGAAGCCAAGAUUAUCAACCUUUAGUGGAUAAAAUCAGAUCUCGAGUUACUUCUUUGACAGCAAAACAGCUAUCUUUUGCAGGAGAUUUAAACAGCCGUCUACUAGUACGAUCAAUUUUUGGUCUGCAUUUUGUCCCACUGGCAAAAGAAUGUUUGGAAAAAACUAGAAAGAUUUGUACCACCUUUCUCUGGACAGAAGCUCUGAACUCGCAAGGGGGGGAAAAUGUCUUGGGAGAGUGUUUGUUCACCGAAAGAGUGCGGAGUUUUGGGUCUGCUUUGCUUAAUGGUAUUAAAUUUGGUGUAUGGACUCAAACUCAUAUGGCUCCUUUUUGGUGGUUCUGAAUCGUUGUGGGUCUCAAAUAUUUGCAGCUGGAUUUGGAGAAGGCUCAUGAAGCUUUCUUAUUUAGCAAAACCUUUCAUUCUCUAUCAUGUAAACUCAGGAAGGAUUUUGCGUCUUUUUGGCAUAACAAGUGGAUGGAAUUUGAAUCAGUUAUUGAUGUCAUCGGCGCCACUAGGUCGAUCAGUUGACUCUUCUGUCAAUGACGACGUUACAGGGGAUGCGUGGAGGAUGUUAGUGGUAUCUCCUUUAAAAAAAAGGUAUACAAGAGUAAAUCCAUAUAUAACAUCUGGCAUAACAUUUUUAUAUAUAAAGAGCAAAAAAAAUUAAUGGAUUAUUCAUUUUAGUACCCUACAUAGUGCAAGAAACUUACUAGGGUUUAUCUUGGUGAGUGUAGCUGUUCCACCGAAGUAACAAGCAAUGCGAUUGUUCCCAUUAGUCUGAUAAUACACAUUAAACGCAAAAGAUGUGUGCGACCAUAUCGUAUCCGGCUCGUAACAGUCACCAUGUUUCUCGAUGACUGAGCAAUCAACUCUCCCAAUACCACAUCCCCAAUCAAGAUCUCUCUGUAGCUCAGCCUGAGACGCACUUGGUCGAGCCACGCACCAUGUUCUUCCGUCCAGGAACGUCGUAUUACCUUCAGCUCGAAUAGGUCUCUGGUCGGAUCAUCGUCACCGGUUUUGUAGCUUCACAUCGUGCUUGGAAUAUGAACUUUAGUAGAAGCAGAGAAAAUAUAAAAAUCCAAAAUUGAUUUCUCAUUUUCAAAAUGUUGGUAAUAGAAAAUAUAAAUGUAAAGAGAAGAAAAUAUCCAGAUCAUAACAUCACCAUAUGUAGAAACCUAUAUUAUACAUAAAUAAUAUAUUGAUUGUCACACUCGUUUAAGUAUAAUGAUCAAGUGAUGGGGACUUUGGAGGUUGAGACAAGUGAGGUUAGGUUUAUUUAGAAAAAAUAACCUAAUCAAAAGAGCUAAGAAUAAUCUAGAUCUCAUUAAGGAAUCGAAGGUGCCUUCAAGAGUAAUAAAAUUUUCAAGAAAUUGAUAGCAUAAGAUUUUUUUUUAUUAUUUUUAAUAUCAGGAAUAUUACUUUCCAUUCAUUUAUGACUUAUUCUUGGGUUCACCCCCUAGGAUGAACCUCUAGGUUCACCAACCAAUAAGAUUAUGUUAUUUCAAAUUUGAUAUCUUUUAUAAAAAGAAACAAAAUAUUGUCAAGUUAUAUUAUGUUUAAAAAAAAUAAAAAUAAAAAUAGUAGUAAUUACAAAAAAAUAUUUUUAAGAAAAAACUAAACCCUAAAUCCUAAUCCCUAAACCCUAAACCCGAAACCAUAAACCCUUGGAUAAACCCUAAACCCUUGGAUAAAUCAUAAACUCUAAAUCAAAAACACUAAACAAAACACUCAAGGGUUUAGGAUUUUAGUGUUUAGUGUUUUUGAUUUAGAGUUUAUGAUUUAUCCAAGGGUUUAGGGUUAACCCAAGGGUUUAGAGUUUCGGAUUUAGGGUUUAGGGAUUAGGAUUUAUGGUUUAGGAAUUAGGAUUUAUGGUUUAGUGUUUUGUUGACGACGUUAACAAUAUUUUUUAAAAAACAAUCUUUUCUUUUGUAACAACUAUUUUUUUUAACCUUUUUAUUUAAAAACAUAAUAACUUGACAAUAUUUUGUUUUCUUUUUUAAAAGAUAUCGAAUUUGAAAUAAUGAAAUCCUAUUGGUUGGUGAACCUAGAGGGUAAACCCUAGGGGGUGAACCCAAGAAUAACUCUUCAUUUAUUGUAUAACGAAUACUGAAAGUUGAGGAGAGGCGUUCACAACUCACAAGCAAAUAAUUCUCUGCAAAUAGUAUAUGUUUAAUUAUAAACAUAAUAAUUUCACAUAGGAAAGGCAUACAAUACACAACACACAUUUAAGACUAAAUAUAUUUCGACAAAGUGAUUCACAAUUUUUUCAAUCUAAAGUGUAGAGAAUGAUGAGAGUAUAAGAUUGGAAGAAUUGUAUAUUGACUCUCAUAAUGAUAAAGGUUAUACAUGUACAACUUAUAUAGGAAGAUAAGAAUGUAAACGUUAAACCUAGAUUUCUUAACUAAAUAUAUACAUAUCUCAAUAACAAUAUUCACAAUUAUGUUUUAUAUCUUCAUGAUUCUCUAUGUAAAGGACUAAAAACAGAGUCGGUUUGAUUAAGAAACAAAACAACAUAGCCAAGUUAUUACAAAAGCCAAUACCUAAAUCCAUUCAGAAGAUGAUGCUAACAAAUCAAAAGACUUUAAACUCAAGAAAGCAUAAAUUAAAAAAAAAAGAACAGAGCUUAUGGCAUUGAUUUUGAUGAGGCAUAGUGAAGCCUGGUGAGCACGUCAACUCUCUUACACAACUCUUCCACUUAAACGUUCAUGUAUUUAGAAAUAUCUUCGAUCUUGUUCCUACUCAGAUCAAGAAAAAAAAAUCGAUUAAGUUCAUUGACUGUACCAAAGAUAACAGUUUUUAUCUAACCAGUCUCUCAAUCAGAUGGCCUCAAUCACAUGGGAGAACCAAAUUACGUUGAACAUUUCUAGUUUCAGUAUCCGCAACCUAUAUCUACUGGAAGUCUUUUUACUCCAGUAGUUAUGAAGUCAUUAAUUUUUUUUACGUUUCAAUAUUUUGGAUUCGAAUCUUAGAGAAAUGAUUUAUUAACAAUUACAUAGAUUAAUAGAGAAUAAACCUACACAAGAUUUUCAUCACGAUGUAAGCAGUGUCGGCCCUGGAUAGAAGCUGGGUAGCAUGUGCUUCCAGCCUUGAAAAUAAUAUGUAAUAUUUCAACUAUUUUUGACUAAAAUCUCCAUUAGCUUAGUUGGUAAAUGUUAAUAACCAUAUGUUAGUACUACAAACAAACUAAAAGUUUGUUUACAUGACAGAAAUAAGAGAUCAACAGUUAUUGUAUAGAAAUAAAUUGUAAGGUAACAUACAUAAUUUUUUUUUAAAAAACUCAACCAUAAUUCCAAUAUUGAUAUGGAAAUAAAAAUAUAUAGUUGCACAAUUCGAAAGAAUGCAAUAUAAAACAACUUACCAAAAACAAAUAAGAGCAGACAUGAAACUAGAUGAUUUAAAAUAAGAAAAUGAUUAAAAGUUCUAUCGCCAAAAUAAAAACAGAACAUAGUCCCAUUCAAACUAUCUCAGUAAUUGUAUAAGGCAAUUUAGUAAACACAACAAAACUGAGUCUUAAUCUCCUUAUAACAAAUAAGUUCAAUGAAAAGAGUUGAUAAAAGUAAAGAAGAGCAAUCACAAUAAUAAAUAUCACACAUAAUAUAAAACCAAACUCUUCAAGUUAAACACAAAUGUUAAAUAAAAGUAAAAUAUCUGGGUGAACAGAGAUCAAACCCUAGUAUUAUAUAAAAACGCAUUAAAAGUAACAAAACCCCUUUUUGACUGUCUCGACAUCGGACGGUGAAAUUAUUUUUGUAAAUGCUGAGUCACCUUUAGAGAAUUGGUUCUCAAAUUUCAUUUUAUGGCAUCUUAUUUUGAACAUAUGAAUAUUUCCUUCACGGUGUUGCAAAAUUUCCUACACAGAAUCAAAAACACAUUAAGUUUCUUAUUUUCCCAAACAUUGAGAGAAGAAGAAUAAAUUGAGAGAAGAAGAAAGAGGAAACUUACAGCCAUGAAUCGUCUCCAACAAGCAUCAUAUCUCCUUCAUGAACUUUAAAGGUUAGUUUCCAUUGACUGUGCAUAUGCAACUUGCCUUCGAUAUUAAAGAGUUUUUCUAGUUCAAGGAUCAUGUGAUUGUAUCCAUCAAAAUCAGUUAAAUCAACAGUUCUGAUUGUAUCCAUCAAAAUCAGUUAAAUCAACAGUUCUAACAACACCUUCCAUGUGAACCUGGUCAAUAAACAUAUCAAGUGUUUGUGAAUUAAAUAUAGUCAUCUCAAUCUGGUUAAAAAGUUAUUCAAGUUUCUUAUCAAUAUCAAAUCUACUGUAUUAGAAUAAAACUAUGUGUGCAACCAUAUAUAAAAUCUAGUCUUUUCUUAAAAAGAACAUGAAUAAUUUUACAAAGCCUAUGUCUUAUCAUGUUCUAGUUAUUAAUAAUUAAUAAUUUUAGAAUUGACUAAAAAGUAAAGAAUAAGUAGAAGAUGCUCUUAGUCAUACCUUGGUACUACUUGUAGUACACCUUAUUUUCUUCGUUUGGAUUUCUGUUAGUGAUGUCACUGCUUGAAUUUGAUCAAGCUUUUCUUCAUCAAAGAUUUCAGAAAUUUUACUCUUUUGGUAUGAUUCAAGUGGUUCCAAAACAUCUCUUGCUUUGGUAGAAGCCGUUAGAUCAACUCCAAACAAUCUGAAGCUACUAGAUGCAUUGGUGGUUGAAUUUUCUUUUGUUGACUGGACCAUUUGGUCAUUGUAAUAUGGUUUGGACAUAGCAAGACCUGCAUAGCUCACUAGCCAACCAGAUGAAAUUUUUGAAUCAUUAGUUUCAUUCUGAUAAAUAAGUUGAGGAAGACUUGUCGAAGAUUUUAUACUUGAUUCUCCAAUUUAUUGGCUUUGAGUCAACAUAUGAAUUAUCAUAUUUGAACUUAUAUAUAGAAAUAUGAUGAUAAUGGAUACACAAAGAAGCAUAAAUUAUUUAAAACUAUUUUCUUACCAAUUUCGUUAAUUUCGCGUUGGCGUUUGUUUUUUCGAAUUAAAGGCUCGAUUUCCCAUGGAGAGACCUUAUUAGGUCUUGAAAUUGUUGCAGCUUCAUCCCACUGAACCUAUAAAAAUAAGUUAGUGGAUUUUACUUAUUAUUAUUUUGAAAUCAUAGUCUAAAAUAAUAUAACAAAAAUUAGUUAUGAAUAAGUUUUACUUGUAGAUUUCGCCAUUCUGAAUCCUUCCAAUAAAUGGAGAAAUCUUCCACUUUUACUAUUGUCCCAGAAUAUCUUUGCAGUAUAAACAAAAUUUGUAAGUAAUCAUAUUUGGAAAAAAAAAAUUAUAUGAGAGUCAAAUAUUUACAUUAUUUCAUUAAAAUCACGUCCUUCAAACUUCAUAGUAAACCUUGAACCUGUAUUGAACUUCAUGUUCACUGCAUCUAUAACUUUUUUGCAGUUGACAAUGAAUUUGCUCGACCUAAUAUCAUCAUAUCAAGAAUAAAUUAAAAUAUGCUUUUUAAAAUAAAAUAUUCUCAUGAUGUUUAAGUAGAGUAAUAAAGUAUUUUCCUUACUUUGGCCUAUAAAACACGUCGAACAUACAUUUGGAGUUAAUAGCAUUCGAUGCAGUAGCAACUAAACCAUAAUGCAUACUCUCUUUUGAAAUUACUGAUGAUGAUAUGUUGCUUUGUUGAGGCGCUGCUUUUCUGAUUCCGAUUUGUGAUUCCCCAUUCUCCCCUCUAAAACAAAAAAUAUUUAAAAUACAAAAAAAAUUAAGAAACAAAAGAGAUGCAAAAUGACAAAUGUAUAUACCUAAGGAAUACAACAGAGUCUCCAACGGCCAAACUUUUUUUUCUUACAAACUGUUUCCAACCAGAUGUGAAAAGAUGUCUUUGUGGUGUACCUAAUUGAUAAUUUAUACAUAAAUAAAGAUUAUUAGUUGUGUAUAAAGAUUAUUAGUUACUACCAAACGAUUUUGAUAUAGAAAACGUAGCUACCUCUAAAAGUGUGUUUAAAUUUCCAAACAUGAUCAUGGAGAUCUUUAGCAACUAUCCACUGACUCGGUGCUUGCUGUGACAUAUCCUAAAAAAACGUUUAAUACAAAGGAUCAUAUAAAAAUUUACAAUAUAAGUCAAUUAUGGAUUUAUUUGGUGUAUUUAUUAAAUGAAAAUACCAAUAGAGGAAGACAUUCAAUGGCAUCUUUUUUAAAUAAAGAAAAACCACCAUGUGUGCUGGCAUCCGAAGCAGUUAACACCUUGGUAAAAUAGUUAAUGUUUUGUUCGUUGUUGCCAUUAGGAAUAGAGACUUCAAAUUCCUAAUAAUUAAAUUCAUAAAUUUAUUUACAGAUAUUAUAAAAAGAGGUACUAUUAGUUCUUAAAUAAAAUUUUAAAUUUUCCACGUACAGGUGAAAAUGGCGACAACGAAACUUUUGCAUAAACUUCAUCUGUAUUGGUAUCCACCUAAAUUCAUGCAUAAAACAUGUCAAAACCAUAAUAUGUACAAUUGUAAGCCAAUUAAUCUCAUGUGUAUUUCCUAAAGAGAAACAUCAAAUACCAAAGAUACAUACCUUAAGCUUGAUGCUAAUAACAUUACAACGAAUUUUUGAAGAAAUAUCAAAAAUUGGUUUAAAUUGGCACAGGUUGUCAUUUUCUGAUGCUACAAGCUGAUAAUGUCAUAAGAUUGUAGAAAAGUUUAUUGAAUAACAAAAUAUGAGAAUUAAUGUGAAAUUAUUCAUAGAAAAACAUGUGCCUGCUCUAUGUGCCCUUGAGGAAAAUAAUAAACUUCUUCUCCAAUUAUUGGAAGAUCAAACAAAGAUCCAGCACAUAACUUCCAUAACUGAUUAUACAUAUAUCUAUUGGUUCCAUCAGUUCCUAAAUGAAUAAAAAAAUAUUUUUAUGAGUAAAUAUUCCUAAUAAAUCAAAAGUUAAAUUUGAGUUCCUUUUUUAACUUAUACCUUGAAAUUUAGGUUGUGCAUCUCUAAUUUUGUUAUUCUCCAUCAGCUUUUACCAAAUAAUGGUCUUGAAUUACACCUUACACAAAAAUAUCACCAAAUCCAGAAUAGUUGUUAGCAUGGUAUUCUAUUUCAAAAUUAGGGGUGGGCGGUCGGUACCCAUUAUUAUUCAGUUCGGGUCUAUUUAGGUUUUGGGUUUUUGAGAUUAAAGAUUUCAAUCUCAUUUAAGUAUUUAUAAAUUUUUAUUCGUGUUUGGUUCGGAUCUUUGCGGGAGAUGAGCUGUUUAAAUUAUUUUUAAAUUUUUCAAACUCUAAAAAUGAAGUUUGUGUUUUUUUUUUAAAUAAUUCAAAUUCAAAAGAGUAUAUAAAGUUUGUGUUUUUUAAAAGGUAUUGAUAAACAGGUUUGUGUUUUUUUAAGUAUGAUUACAUCAUGAUAGAUAGAGAAUUUUAAAUAAAAUUUUACAAAUUAUAUUGCAAUAUAAAUCAUGAUUAUUCACAAAAUCGAGCCAUACAAGUAGAUAAUUAACAUAAUACCUUUGAUUAGUGAAUUGUUGAGCACGUUUUGAUCUUGGUAAACAAGUUUGUUUUCUGUUCUUUACAAUGAUCUGUAUUUGUCUUUGUUUAGUCAUCAAUUUGAUAUACAUCAGGUAUUUAUAGUUGAGAAGUCAUUGUCCUACAUUAAUAUUGUUCAUAUGAUUUUUGACUAAAGAUUACCUCAUAAGUCAUAAUUAGUUGAUUUGUCAGUGAAGAAAAUGGUCUUUAGUAAAAGAAAAUUCAAAGGUCGCCUAUGGAUUCUGUACUUAAACAUUAAUGCAUUUUUACAGCCUUUCCAUUUAUGUGAAAAAAAUCCCAAAAUGGAACUCAUCUAAUGUUGAACACGUCAAUUCUCCCAUCAUCACCUCAAUCCCAAAAUGGAACUCAUCUCUAAAUGGUAACCAAAGAAAUGAGUGAGCAUAGUUGAUUCCUUACCAUUUCUUACAAUUUACACCAUUUACAAGGAAUAUUUAUUACUUAUGAUUCCUUAAUAUUCUUUAACUUUUAAAGAAUAAAAGACUACAAUUAUUCCUUAUAAAAUUAGAAAAGAAAUAGAUUUUCCUCUUAUUUUUUCAUUUCAUUCUUUUCCUUGUUAUUUCUCUUAUUCUUUUAAUGGUUACCAGUUAAAGCCUUACAUCUUUGGUUAACAAUUAACCAAAAGUCAUGUGUUUCUACAUGAUCCACACAUACAUGUGAUGGACAGAAGUUGACCAAAAAACAGAAAUAUUAUAUUGGACCUAACUUUUAUUUUGUAAGUUUUUAAAUUCAAUACACCUUUCAACUUUAUAGUUAAACUUACAUUGAAUCACUAAUAUUCCUUUCAUUAUACUACUAUCUAUGUUUCCAAACAAUAUUCUUAUUUAUAUUAUUAAAAGAAAAGUACCCAUUAAAAAUACCCCUAAGUAUUCUAAUUUAUUUACACUUCCAUGGCACUGAGAAUUUAAUUUAACUACAUAUUUUAAUGAUUGUCUUUUCCAGUUAAAUUAAUGAGUUUUCCUUAAUCAAAUUUAAUCUUAAUAUCAUUAAAUGAACCUACCUAUUAUAAUGUUUCUCUUUUCCAGUUAAAUUAAUGAGUUUUCCUUAGUCAAAUUUAAAUUUAAUAUCAUUAAAUAAACCUAAAAAUACAUCAUAUAUUUAAUGUAAAUUAUUACGGAUGAGUACGGCCCAAUAAAGAACUUGAAUUUUAUUUUUUACAAAAACGUGAAUCACUUGACAUAUAUAAUAUUUAAAAUAUAUUAACUACAAUAUAACAAAUGCAUACUUUAGUUUGAAAUGAUCAUGCUCAAGUUUGAUAUAGUCAACUUACAUCAUGCAUCGAUCGAUGUACAAUAUUCAAACCACCUAUAGUUUUUAUUUUCUUUAUAGGAUGUAUCAACCAACCAAUCAUCCUAUUGAUUUUCUAAGCUUUAUAAAAACAAAUCAAUAAAUACAAACUCAAAAUCCAACAUCUUCUAUUAAUCAAAACAUAAUAUCUUCAAUGUCAUAUCUUUAAUGUACCUAUUAAAUAUAGAAACUGUAACCAUAAUUACACUAAUUAUAAGAAUAGAAUUGAUUCCAACCAAUUGAUCUAUUACUUCGGUAAUUGAUUUGCUUGUAGAAGAGGAAACAAGAAAUUUAAAAUUUGUAAGAAUAUAAAGAUAUAGAGAUUCCAACCAAUUGCCUAUAUUUGCGUAUGAGUUUCGCAUUAUAAGCUUCAAAUUGAACAUUGAAAAAGAUAGAGAUUUUUUUUAAUCUUUUACCGACACAGAACUUAAACAAAACGAAAGAGUUAAAGGUAAUUUAUUUUUGUUACACUUCCCGGAAAAAAACUUACAACAUGGGCUUUCAUAAUAUGGCCUUUUAACAUAUUAAUGUUAUGGAUAUUUAAUAAUUAUAUGCAAGAAAAAAUAAAGACUAUAAAUAAUUUAUUAUUAAUAAAAUUAUGAAAUUAUUUAUAAUUUGAUGACUAAUUCAUCGCCGUUUUUUAUAUGUUAAAUUUUCAUAGAAGUUUAAAAAUCAUUAUAUUUUCUUUAAACAUGUACACUUAAAUUAUAAUUUUUUUAUGCCAUACUAAGUCAUAAUAUAAUAUUUCUUCAUAUUUUACAUUAAUAACCAUUGUUUUUAAAUAUCGUCUACAAUUCUUUAAUUACGUCUAUUUGUUCAAUUUUUUAUAUGAUAUCGAAUAUUUGUCAUAAAUAGAUGGUUUAAGAUGCCAAAAAAAAUAUUUAGUUGGUGAAUAUAAUACAUCAAAUAUUACAAAUACAUCAUUUAGUUAAAUAAAUAACGAAAAAUCAAAAAUUUAUACCCGCGCUGGCGCACUGGUCAGGGUCUAGUUUUUCUUUAUACUACUAUCCAUGUUUACAAACAACACUAUAAUUAAUCUUUUAUCCAAGCAAUAUAAAAUAUUAGACCUCAUAUUUUUUAUAAUUCUAAAAAUUUUCUUUCAAAUUAUUUAGAUAAAUUAAAUAAUAGAAAAAAUUCAGAUAAUUUAUAAACAGCAAAAAUAAAUAGAACUUAUUUUACAGGUUUAAUAACUACAAAAAAUUCAAUAAUAAAUCAGUUAAAUUAACGGAUUAUUUUAUUUAUUAUAUUUCCUAAAUAAUGGUUAUAUCAUUUAAGUAACAUAAUAAUUCAAUAAUAUCCAUAUCAUAAAAAUAUAUAAAGUUAUACAUUGUACAAUAAAUAUAAUAACAAAAAUAAUUAUGAAAAAUGUUCAAAAUAUAUAUAUAUAUAUAUGGGUUAUUUAAAGAAAAUGCUUAACACUAAUUGUUAACAACAAAUUUAAACCUAUUAUAAGAUAAACCAAAAUAUUAACAAGAUAAAUUACACAAAACAAUUAUAAUAAAAUUAAUUAGGCUAUAUAAAAAGGAGUAAUAUGUUCAAGAUAUAUUUAUAGUUCUUAAUUAUUUGAUACAUAUCAUUUUCUGCAUCAAAAGUUUGUAGAAACGUCAAAAUUUCAUAAAACUACAAAACAAUGAACCUUAGAAUUUAGAUUAAAAGGUGACAAAUUAUGAAACUAUAUCAAUUUAAAUCAAAUUGGAUUACAUAUCGGUCAUCCAUCGGUUCAAUCGGUUAGUCUCUAGUUUUAGUGAUUUUUUUAAAUAUUGAUAUUUUUAAAAACCUAAAGAAAAUUAUCAAAUCACCGGAUUAACCGAUUUGACCGCGGGUUUGGAUCGAAUUUAAAAACACUGAUUUUAGUUUCAAAAUGUUUUAAAUACGAAAAACUCUUAUAAAUUAAAAAAAAACUAUUUAUUAACUUAGUAGUAGAAUUUGUCAUCAUAAAAUAUUCUGCGCUUGCAAAGCACGGAUCAAAAUCUAAUGAUACUUAAAAGGCAUUACAAACAAAAAUAUGAAAGUACUAGAUGAUAACCAUCAUUUUAUACUAAUUUUGUUUAUCAAAUGAUUUUAACAUUUUGCAACACUACCAUUUUUAUCGAUUAUAAAAUGAUGAAUACAAAUGUUGGUCUCUUAAAUUUAUCAUUGUUGUUAAAGAGUUAACGUAUUAAAGUUCAUUUUAAUUAUUUCAGGACUCCAUAUGCACAAAAGGAUAUUAAGUUUUGCCAGCUGACACAAAUCAAAGUAAUCGUAUAGGCAAGAUCGAUUGUAAAAUGACAAAAGAGGAUUAGGUGCACCAUCUAUGUAAUAAGUAAAUGCCUCUUUUCGGCUCUGGAUUUGUUUACUAUUGAGUCUCCAUAUGUGAUUUCAUUUUCUACCUCUAUAAAAUUGUGUUGUCGUUUAUGUUUCACUGAUAUGAGUUUUAUUUUUUUUUCUUCUAUGAAUUCGGUGAAUUACAUAAGUGUCAAUUUAAAAGAUAGACAUCUGUAAAAAUUAGUUAUACUCCAGAUACAUAUAAACUCUAUUCACAGGUUAGUGAUUCUAAUAUAUCAAGUUGUUAUAUAAUAUAAGUGCAGACUCAGAAUAUAAAUGUAUGUCUAGUAGUUAGUACAUAUUCACUAGUUCAGUUUAAAAAUCAUCUAAUUCUAGAACAACAAAACAAAUUAUUUAUUUUAUUAACCUAUGAUUUAGGUUUAGUUACUUAAGAGUAUACGAUAAAAUAUAUUUAUAUAUAAUAUUUUACCAUUAUAGUAUGUGUAAACUAUGUAUAAACUAAGAACUGUUUGAUUUAUUAAAUGAUAAACCAGAAAACUUAUAAUAAAUAGUUAAAAUCUUUCAUUCUUACAUUUAUAAUAGCUAGAUAGGGUAUUAGGGAGAAACAAAUACUAGACGAAUGAUCAAAUCUCUCAUUCUUCGAACAAACUCAAAAGGAGAUUAUUAGAAUCUUGUCAUGAUAUUUCAUUAAAAGCUUUUUAGGAAUAAAAAUCAAGAUUAAAAUAUUUAAUCUGAAUAAAAUAAUAUAUAUAGUGCUUCUAAUAUUAAAAAUCACAUCGAUUUAAAGAAUAUUUGGGACUGUCAGGAUCAAAUAACAUAGGGGAAAUUACAUGUUUACCACUUUCAUGGUAGCACUUUUCAUUUUUACCGCCACUAAGGAGACAUUUUCAAAAAUACAAUCUUCAUUUAGUGGCAAAAGACUCUUAUGCUCUUGUUAUUUAUAUAUAUAAUAAAUCAUUAUUUAAAUAAAAAAAUAAAAAAUAAAAAAAAGUAAAUUUUUUUUUAUGUUUUCGAAUUAUACUUUUUCAAACUCGAACUCUUUUAUAAAUUAUUUUUUGAAAUUUUUUUUUCGAAUUUUUCUUUAAUUUAUUUUCAAAUUUCUUUUUGAAAAACGAAAAUUAAGUUUGAAACUAUUUUCUAAAAUUUUUUAUAUAUUUUUAAAAUAUUUAUUUAUAUAUUUAUUAGAAUUCUAAAUUUCGCAUUCCAAAAACCCUACCCCACCCCUCAACUCUAAACCCUAAGUCUAGAUUAGUUAACCCUAAGGGUAUAAUUGUCUUUUAUCCUUCAUUAAAAGUGAGGGUAAAAGUGGUUAGUGUAAACAUGAAAAGUGGUACUAUGAAUGUGCUAUUUGUGGCAAUUUCCCAAUAACAUAUUUGAAACUACCUAUUUAAGAAAUAAUUUGUAUACAUAAAAGUAUAUACAUCAAUCAUUUUAUUUGUGUUAUAUGGUAUUAAUUAUAAUUAAGUGAUAUUGACAUAAAUAUAGUAUAUUUUAAUAUAAAUUUUUAUUAUUAACACUUCCUACUCAUAUGAUUUUAUUAACAUUUGUAUGUUUACUGUAACAAAAAUUUAAACCGCUAAUUACAAAACUUUUAAUGUGAGAUUUAUCAGUACAAAUUUCAAAAUUAAAAUAUUAAGAUCUCAAUAAUUUUCCAUGAAAUUUUGAAUUUUACAUAUUGUUAUAUAGUAUGUAGUUUAAUUUUAAUGAUAUUAAUAUAUAUAUAUAUAUAUAUAUAUAUAUAAUAUGAAUAUUUAUUAAUGAGACUUAAUAUUCAUACGAUUUAUGAUCAUCUGUAUUUUGAUUGAACAAAAAAAUAAACCAUUGAUCACAAAACUUUCAAUGUGAGACUUUUGUCAUUUUUAGUAAUAUGUAGUCGUUUUAAAAAAUUCAAAAUAUAACAUAUAAGAAAAAAAUCUAUUUUUUUAUUAUAUACUUGAUGUGACUGUUUAAUUUCUAUUAAUAGUAUAAAAUUAAACAAAAAAGAGAGAUGAUACAAAAAAUGUUUUCAAAUAUGUAUUAUUCAUAAUCAUUAAUUGUCAUAUAUAUGUUAAUCAUAUUAGGUAAUUCCGUAAAUUUUAUUUCAUAAGAAAAUUGAGAAUAUUCUUUUUACAUUACUAAUCAAUUUGAUAGUUAAUUUAAUAAAAUAAAAUAAUAUAUAUUUAUAAAGACCAACUUAUUUUUCUAAAGAUUGUAAGAAUCAUCCUAGUAAUGACAUAUGGCUAUGAAAACAUGUUGUAAUGCUUCAGAAUUAAUAUACAGGGGAUGGUUCCUACUUGCAUACAUCAUAUUCAUAGAAGCAUGUUCCGUAGCCUGCAAGCAACAUAUAAAAUAUCUCAUCUAGUAUCUUGUACUCCCCAUACAUAAAAUAAUUGCAGAAAAGAAAAUGUUAUAUCAAAAAGAUGUUAUUAGAGAGGUUACUCAAAUUCAGUCACGUAUUUCUUUUGUCAUUUAUCUUACUUUUGGAAAAUAAGUAUACAUGGGUAAAUCCAUAUAUAAAAUAGGGCAUAACAUUUAUAGAUAUAAUUAGAGAUAUUAUUGGCCGAUUAUUCAUUUUAGUAACAGAAACUUACUAGGGUUUAUCUUGGUGAGUGUAGCUGUUCCACCGAAGUAACAAGCAAUGCGAUUGUUCCCAUUGGUUUGAUAAUACUCAUUAAACGCAAAAGAUGCGUGCGACCGUAUAGUAUCCGGCUCUAUGACUAAGCAAUCAACUCUCCCAAUACCAAAUGCUCAAUCAAGAGCUCUGUGUAGCUCUGAUACGUGUGACCUCGUCGAAUCACAGCUUUAGAACAAAUAGAUGAACAAGAAACAUAAACACACAAACUUUUGGACAAUUAAUUAUUUCCUCUAAGUGUUCAAGCUCGUUUUUGAUGUUUGGCCUAAACUGUGAAGUCGUUUAACCUCGAACUCACGUUGCACAAGUAUACAAACACGAAGCUCUCACGGAAACCGCUCAGGAAUACAGAUACGCAAGAAACGAAUGAGAAACGAAAAAUAAGAAAAGGAGCACACACAUAUGGGAUAUGGAGACACAAAUCUAAUCUAAAUAGAAAACUUCAUUUUCUUAUUCUAGAUUUCUUUUUUGUAUUUAUCUCUUAACAUGUACAUUUAUUACUAUGUUAAGUUUCCACAUAUUUGGAAUUAUUCAACCGAACAAAAGAACCAAAUUACCCGUAACCUAAAUCUAAAGGAAGUCUUAUUACUGGAUUCGAAUCCUAGAGAAAUGAUUUAUUAACAACUAGGAGUUUUGCCUGUACAUGCGGACAUAGUUAUUUAAUAAUAUAUUUAAUAAAUAUUUAUUAAUAAAUAUACUAUUAGUUUAAAGAUCAAAAAAAAAAAUUAAACAUUAAAUUUAUACUAUUUUAUGAAUCUUUCAAUUUUUUAAUUUUUAUUGAUUUAAAAACAUUAUUUUUGGAUAACAACACUAAUAUCUUGUAAAUAUGUUAUUAUCUUGAACAAAUUUUUAUUAUAUUAAUUUAUAAACAAUGAUAUAAUUAAAUAAACAAAUAUAUAAUUGUUAAUAUAAAGUGAUGUUAUUAAACCAAAUUCUAGGAAUUAGCAUAACUUACAAAAUCUCAAAAUAAAUCAAAAGCACAAAAAUGUUAAACCAAACUCAGCUUUACAUAUAUUAGUCAAAGUAAAUAAGAAUAUUGAUAUAUGUAUAAUUAUAUUGUGAAAUACUUCCUAUAAUAAUUAAAUAAACACUCAAUCAGACUAACUAUGUUGACAAACAAAACAUUAAUAUUUAAUGUAUAUUUGAGGAAAUUUUAAUUUAAACAAAGUUAUAAUUUUAUAAAAAUCGUGAAAAAUUAAAAGUAAAUAAAGUAAAUUUUAAAUUUUCAUAAAUAUAAGGUACUUGUUGUAAAAAGGAAUAUUUUCUUUUUGAAAGUUAUUCUUACAACUGGACGAUAACAAUAAAUAUUUAGUAAAAAUAAAAACAAAGAAAUACUAAAUUUUCAACUUUUUUUUGGUGUAAAUGUUAAAAUUAAAUUUUCAACUUAAAUAACAAAUACAAGUUAUUUUUGCAACUGAAUGAUAAGAAUAAAAAUGAAAAUAUCACGAAAAUCACAUUAAUACUAAAAUAAAUUUAAUAAUUUUUCAAAAAAAUAUGCCAUGACAUAUUAUGUUUACAAACAAAUAUAAAUAAAUUUUUGUUAUUUUGUAUAAAACUAUUUAUAAUAUUUUAGUAUAAUGAUAAAUCUAAUUAUGAUAUGUGUAUAUAUAAUACUAAUUAUGAAAAUAAAUAAACAAGAAAUAAAGAUGUAGAUAAACACAAAAUAAAUACAUGGAAUUAUCUUUUUAUUUUUUCAAAAACGUUUUCCAUUUAUUUUUGAGAUAUUUUUAUAAUAUUAGUUUGUAAUCAGUUAAAUAACGAAUUAUAUAAUUUAUUUAUUAGAUAUUAAAACUUUAAUUAGUCAAAUUAAAAGAAAAUUGUUUAAUAACUAAGCAUAAAAUUAUGGAGAACAUGACAAAUAAACAAAUUCAAUUCAAAAAUAAUAGUAUAAAUAGAUUAAAUAGAUUAACCUCCACAAGAUUUUCAUCAUCAUGUAAGAUAAUUUUUUUUUUUUUGAGUAAAUUUUUGCAUUAAAUUAAACGAACAGCAUACAACUUGGAUCAAAAACACAGAACAACAAUACACCUAAGCUAUACCACAGGCUGCAACAACAUCGUGAAAAGAUAAAAGGAUAUGAAUGCCAAGACUUUAGCAGGAAACAAAAGCACAUCCCCAAGAAGAUUGUUAGGACUUCAAGAACUCAUCCAAGAGCAGCAGCAUUGGGCCAGUCUCCACAAGACGAGCAAGAGCAGUUACGCCACCGGACAACGCCGAACCCAGAAGCAAAAACUGAAGCAGCGCCCCAAGAAGACCAAACCCCUGCUCACAGAUAAGGAAUGAAGCCCGAGACGCAAAACCAGGGACAACCUUUGCGUCAAACCGCCAAGUCACAACAUACACCAAUCCUCAAUCCACAUACGAAAGGAGAGCAGUCCAAGGCUUGCUACAGAUGCCACUAUGGGUAGACAGAAACCGUCGACACCCAGAAACAGAGAGAGCAGAGGAGAGAGUGACCUUACAUUGAAGGUAGGUAUAAACCGGAGGAGAAGACUCACCACCGCUAGACACAACCUGUACCACUGCCUGAAGAACAGAAAGCGGACCUGUCGACAAGAGCACAACCGGAACAGAAAACUGAGGGGGUGUGGAACCCGAACACCGGAAGAAACCCAG